GAUCCUGGCUCAGGAUGAACGCUAGCUACAGGCUUAACACAUGCAAGUCGAGGGGCAGCAUUUCAGUUUGCUUGCAAACUGGAGAUGGCGACCGGCGCACGGGUGAGUAACACGUAUCCAACCUGCCGAUAACUCGGGGAUAGCCUUUCGAAGAAAGAAUUAAUACCCGACUGGUAUAAUUAGACCGCAUGGUCGUUGUUUAUUUAAAAGUAAAUUUACGGUUUAGUUCGAUGGGGAGGUGCGUUCCUACUUAGGUCGAG
rnacentral:rRNA from 1 species